rnacentral:rRNA from 1 species
UACGAGGGGGGCUAGCGUUGCUCGGAAUUACUGGGCGUAAAGGGCGCGUAGGCGGCACUGUUAGUCAGGCGUGAAAUUCCUGGGCUCAACCUGGGGACUGCGCUUGAUACGGCAGAGCUUGAGGAUGGAAGAGGGUCGCGGAAUUCCCAGUGUAGAGGUGAAAUUCGUAGAUAUUGGGAAGAACACCGGUGGCGAAGGCGGCGACCUGGUCCAUUACUGACGCUGAGGCGCGACAGCGUGGGGAGCAAACAGG